GACGUUUAGGCCGCCCUGCCAUGUGAGGCAGGAGAGGAGAAAGAAAAAACGAAUCCUAGUGUAAUCCUGCUGUACACCCGUAACCGAGCCUCGUCCACCUCGAAGCCUCUCUCUCAGCUCACUUGUUUUAAACAGAGUUUCUAC